GAUGAACGCUGGCGGCGUGCCUAAUACAUGCAAGUCGAGCGAACGGACGAGAAGCUUGCUUCUCUGAUGUUAGCGGCGGACGGGUGAGUAACACGUGGAUGACCUACCUAUAAGACUGGGAUAACUUCGGGAAACCGGAGCUAAUACCGGAUAAUAUUUUGAACCGCAUGGUUCAAAAGUGAAAGACGGUCUUGCUGUCACUUAUAGAUGGAUCCGCGCUGCAUUAGCUAGUUGGUAAGGUAACGGCUUACCAAGGCAACGAUGCAUAGCCGACCUGAGAGGGUGAUCGGCCACACUGGAACUGAGACACGGUCCAGACUCCUACGGGAGGCAGCAGUAGGGAAUCUUCCGCAAUGGGCGAAAGCCUGACGGAGCAACGCCGCGUGAGUGAUGAAGGUCUUCGGAUCGUAAAACUCUGUUAUUAGGGAAGAACAUAUGUGUAAGUAACUGUGCACAUCUUGACGGUACCUAAUCAGAAAGCCACGGCUAACUACGUGCCAGCAGCCGCGGUAAUACGUAGGUGGCAAGCGUUAUCCGGAAUUAUUGGGCGUAAAGCGCGCGUAGGCGGUUUUUUAAGUCUGAUGUGAAAGCCCACGGCGUCAACCGUGGAGGGUCAUUGGAAACUGGAAAACUUGAGUGCAGAAGAGGAAAGUGGAAUUCCAUGUGUAGCGGUGAAAUGCGCAGAGAUAUGGAGGAACACCAGUGGCGAAGGCGACUUUCUGGUCUGUAACUGACGCUGAUGUGCGAAAGCGUGGGGAUCAAACAGGAUUAGAUACCCUGGUAGUCCACGCCGUAAACGAUGAGUGCUAAGUGUUAGGGGGUUUCCGCCCCUUAGUGCUGCAGCUAACGCAUUAAGCACUCCGCCUGGGGAGUACGACCGCAAGGUUGAAACUCAAAGGAAUUGACGGGGACCCGCACAAGCGGUGGAGCAUGUGGUUUAAUUCGAAGCAACGCGAAGAACCUUACCAAAUCUUGACAUCCUUUGACAACUCUAGAGAUAGAGCCUUCCCCUUCGGGGGGCAAAGUGACAGGUGGUGCAUGGUUGUCGUCAGCUCGUGUCGUGAGAUGUUGGGUUAAGUCCCGCAACGAGCGCAACCCUUAAGCUUAGUUGCCAUCAUUAAGUUGGGCACUCUAAGUUGACUGCCGGUGACAAACCGGAGGAAGGUGGGGAUGACGUCAAAUCAUCAUGCCCCUUAUGAUUUGGGCUACACACGUGCUACAAUGGACAAUACAAAGGGCAGCGAAACCGCGAGGUCAAGCAAAUCCCAUAAAGUUGUUCUCAGUUCGGAUUGUAGUCUGCAACUCGACUACAUGAAGCUGGAAUCGCUAGUAAUCGUAGAUCAGCAUGCUACGGUGAAUACGUUCCCGGGUCU
rnacentral:rRNA from 1 species